rnacentral:rRNA from 1 species
AGAGUUUGAUCCUGGCUCAGAACGAACGCUGGCGGCGUGCCUAACACAUGCAAGUCGAACGAGAAAUUCCACCUUCGGGUGGGAGAGUAAAGUGGCGCACGGGUGAGUAAUGCGUGGGUAACCUGCCCUCGAAUCUGGGAUAACUCCGCGAAAGCGGCGCUAAUACCGGAUGUCGUUGCAGAGACUCAGGUUUCUGCAAUGAAAGGUGACCUCUUCAUGAAAGUUGCCGUUCGGGGAUGGGCCCGCGUCCCAUUAGCUUGUUGGUGGGGUAAUGGCCUACCAAGGCUACGAUGGGUAGCUGGUCUGAGAGGAUGAUCAGCCACACUGGAACUGAAACACGGUCCAGACUCCUACGGGAGGCAGCAGUGAGGAAUUUUGCGCAAUGGGGGAAACCCUGACGCAGCAACGCCGCGUGAGUGAAGAAGGCCUUCGGGUCGUAAAGCUCUGUCAAGUGGGAAGAAAUGCUCCUGUUGAACAGACAGGAGAGCUGAUGGUACCACUAGAGGAAGCACCGGCUAACUCCGUGCCAGCAGCCGCGGUAAUACGGAGGGUGCGAGCGUUGUUCGGAAUUACUGGGCGUAAAGCGGGUGCAGGCGGUUUGGCAAGUCAGAUGUGAAAGCCCGGGGCUCAACCCCGGAAGUGCAUUUGAAACUGCCUUACUUGAGUAUGGGAGAGGAGAGUGGAAUUCCCAGUGUAGAGGUGAAAUUCGUAGAUAUUGGGAGGAACACCCGUGGCGAAGGCGACUCUCUGGACCAAUACUGACGCUGAGACCCGAAAGCGUGGGGAGCAAACAGGAUUAGAUACCCUGGUAGUCCACGCCGUAAACGAUGAGAACUAGGUGUAGCGGGUAUUGACCCCUGCUGUGCCGAAGCUAACGCAUUAAGUUCUCCGCCUGGGGAGUACGGCCGCAAGGCUAAAACUCAAAGGAAUUGACGGGGGCCCGCACAAGCGGUGGAGCAUGUGGUUUAAUUCGACGCAACGCGAAGAACCUUACCUGGGCUUGACAUCCUCUGACAGCUCUGGAAACAGAGUCUUCCCGGUUCUGCCGG